rfam:Oryza glumipatula chromosome 1, whole genome shotgun sequence.
AAUAAACGUAGUUUUGCACUAUUCAUCUCCAACGUUUGACCGUUCGUCUUAUUUGAAAAAAAUUUAUGAUUAUUAUUUUUAUUGUUAUUAGAUGAUAAAACAUGAAUAAUACUUUAUGUGUGACUAAUUUUUUUAAUUUUUUUAUAUAUUAUUUUAAAUAAAACGGACGGUCAAACGUUGGACACGGAUUUUCACGGGUGUACUUAUU